UACGGAGGGUGCAAGCGUUAAUCGGAAUUACUGGGCGUAAAGAGUGCGUAGGCGGUUUGAUAAGCGGAGUGUGAAAUCCCCCGGCUCAACUGGGGAACUGCAAGGGAUACAGCGGGGCUUGAGUUCGGGAGAGGGAAGCGGAAUUCCGGGUGUAGCGGUGAAAUGCGUAGAGAUGUGGAGGAAUACCAGUGGCGAAGGCGACUCUUUGGCCUGAAACUGACGCUGAGGCGCGAAAGCGUGGGGAGCAAACAGG
rnacentral:rRNA from 1 species